UACGUAGGGUGCAAGCGUUGUCCGGAAUUAUUGGGCGUAAAGGGCUCGUAGGCGGCUUGUCGCGUCGUCCGUGAAAACUUGGGGCUCAACCCCAAGCUUGCGGUCGAUACGGGCAGGCUAGAGUUCGGUAGGGGAGACUGGAAUUCCUGGUGUAGCGGUGAAAUGCGCAGAUAUCAGGAGGAACACCGGUGGCGAAGGCGGGUCUCUGGGCCGAUACUGACGCUGAGGAGCGAAAGCGUGGGGAGCGAACAGG
rnacentral:rRNA from 1 species